CAGAAAUUGCUGCCCCACCAACAGCCCAUCUUCCACCCUAUAGGACAGGAAUUUCUCUCUGCUGCCCGUCCACCUUAUUCGGCCCCUGAAGAACAACCCAUCUGUAGCUCACUCUCUGUUGCCAGGAGGACUGUUGAAUUUUACCUAGCCAUCAAACUGCUGGCAGUUUUGCCUCCUUUCCUCCACCCUAUUCAGUAAUCAAUUACAGUGAUGAGGCAAAACUGACAACCCCAGUUACAAUGCUGCUUCCAAUUUGCGUCGCUUAUCCCCAAUUAAGUCAGGCAGGGAGACAUUGCCUGCACCAUAACUCGGUUGUUGUUCCUCAGCAGGAGGUGAUGGAAGUCCCUUACACCUUGUUUUUAUGCUGAGAACCUUUCAGAUUGCAUUUAGACUAUGUAUUUACCAGUUUGCUUGUCAAGGCUUUGAAGCAGGGACAGUCUACUUUGAAGCAGUAUGACAAACUAGCACGACCGACCUCUGUUCUGGAUUAGUCCAAGGAGCAACCUCUGUCACUGGGAUGCAAACAGUAGCACAGCAGUCUCCUUCCAGCGUCUACAAUGCCACAGGCACAAGAUAUUGGCACAAGUAAUUUUUACCAGUGGAAUACCAGGGUAGAGAAAGACUGUCCUGAUCCCCCAACCAUGUACACAGUUCAGCCUCACUAUCUGCAUGCUGCAAGACCACAGGCAGGAAGGGAAGAAGGAACUCAAAUCCUUGCAACCGCAGGUAUGGUAAGACCACACAUCACUUGUAGGUGAUCCACAUACCUUCCUGGAGAGGAAAUCAGAAUGCUUCCCAGGACUCAGCUGUGGCCUGUCUACAAGGAGCCAAAGGAAGGUGAAAAACACCCCCAGAACUCAUCUUGCUAACUGUGCAUCAGAGGGAAAUAUCCUGCCUAACCCCUGUGGGCAGCCAGCUGAAGCCAUGGAGCAUGAGACUUUAUUUUAACACCAGGAUGUCUUCCAGAAAGGAAAUGGGGGAGGACAACAGGAUGGAGAGAUGAAGUAUGAAAACACAGCACUGUCUCAAUUCCAAGUAAAUCUGCCACCUUCCGACUCCUGCAUGCUACGCGGGAGAUUUACAGGAUAGAUAUUUUCAAAUAUCACACUCAGAGGUAAAAUCAUGUUAUAAACUCCCUGCCUCUUUUUCCAUCCCUAUCCAACAUUUCCUAUCCAGAAACGGCAGAAGGAACUUCUAACAAAGAACUUAAAACAAGGUAGAUUAAGCCCACUGAGAUUAUGGUAGCAUGAGAAAUAAACAUAGCAGAAAACUGGAAAAUAAGAGAGCAAACUAGGCUCAUCAAGAGACAACAAAGCAAGCAUUAAUUUGAAAGUGAGGAAGAAUAUGCCAGCUUAUUCCAUAUGUGACGGAAUAAAUAUUAACAAUGCUGACAACAUUUUUAGGUGGACUAACGAGGGCAAAGGAGCAGAAAACUAGUAGUGAACGAGGGGUAAGUAAGCAUAUUUUAUGGAUAGAGGGAGAUGAAGUAUUGUGUCAGCAUGAGUUACCUAGAGAUGAAAGAUGAAAAACAUGACUCAUUCACUAUUUGUAGAAGUAUUUUCCAAGUAUUUGGAAACAGACACCAUAGUUCCAGCAUUUAGCAAAUAAAGAUUCUAGAAGAUAGGUUGACAUUAUCUUCCUAAAAGACUAACACCUACAUUUUUUAAAGCCCUUUGAGAUAUUUAUGAGUAGCCAGGGGGUGCACUUGGAAAUGUGAAAUUUAAUUAGUGAGUCACUACAGAAUUAUGAGGCGUAAAUCAGGUCAGAUUCAUUUUUAUGCAGUAGCUGUUGGUCUUGAUUCAGGUGAGGAACCAAGAGAUCCAACCUAGCAAAUAUUCAGGGAUAUUUGUCUUUUAAUCAGGUUCCAUGUGGACUGGACUGCUGAAUAAUCCACUUCAUUCAUUAACAGUAAUUUUAAGAAAUGAGCCUGAUUCUGUUGUCGGCAUGCUAGAAAGCCCAUAGAUUAUCACCACCGGGAAAGUUUUCUAUUUUAAGAAUGGGAGCAAGGAGGUGGAAACCUAGAUGUGGAGGGUUUAUAUCCUGCUCUGGAUCUGGAGAGCAGAAGGGCACUAAGAGGGCUCUACCCUCAUUCAUCACUGAGCACCUGCAUCAGCUAGAAUUUCACCAUCCCUUGUGCUGCACUCUGCAGGCAAGGCUCUACCAGCUCUUUUCCAAAGGUGGAUGCACACACAGACAAGAGAAGCUGGGAAAGGCUUAUCUCAAGUUACACAGCAAGUGUUUGGAUUUGUGCUGGGGCAGUAGUCAUGGUUUGGCCAAUGGAAAUGAUGUGUACAAGCCAUCAGCAGAUUUCAAAGAGGUGGUCAUGACUAUAAAGGUCAUGCUCAGUGCUGUUGCUAGCAUCAUUCCUACUCUGCAGCAGCAGAAUUUCUACCCCAAAUCCCUCCUGUGCUUCUAACUCCUUUUAAUGUGAAAAAUCAUGUGAUUUUAUUCUUAUCUUCAGAAAUACUCAUCUCUGCUCCUGUAUUCCCUGUGCUCACUCAUCUUUUCAUCUCCUUCCAUCAGUCAGUCCCUGAUCAUCCUUGCAGGUGCUGCCUCCUGUUCUCUGUUCAGAGCAGAACAACAUUAAAGACGGCUAGCAGGUACUUGUUUGCAACACGGAGAGCAUGCUUUAUAAAUCCAAGCCCUUGAAAAAGUGAAAUGGAAGUAGCAUCCAAUCACAUUGUGCUGUGGCUGCCUGCUAUCAAAAAUGUAGGUAUAUAAAAUAUCUAAACAAGGCAAGGGCUAUUUCAGCUCUUUAUAUGUUUCCAUUCAAAACUUUUGUAGUGAGUACAGCAACUUACAAUUAAACAACUGCUCAAAAAAUUCAGCUAUU